rnacentral:rRNA from 1 species
AAACCGGAGCUAAUACCGGAUAAUAUAUUGAACCGCAUGGUUCAAUAGUGAAAGACGGUUUUGCUGUCACUUAUAGAUGGAUCCGCGCCGCAUUAGUUAGUUGGUAAGGUAACGGCUUACCAAGGCAACGAUGCGUAGCCGACCUGAGAGGGUGAUCGGCCACACUGGAACUGAGACACCGGUCCAG